rnacentral:rRNA from 1 species
UACGGGGGGAGCAAGCGUUGUUCGGAUUUACUGGGCGUAAAGGGCGCGUAGGCGGUCGUGACAAGUCACUUGUGAAAUCUCCGGGCUUAACUCGGAACGGUCAAGUGAUACUGUCGGACUAGAGUACAGAAGGGGCAACUGGAAUUCUCGGUGUAGCGGUGAAAUGCGUAGAUAUCGCUUGGAACGCCGACGGUGAAAACAGCUCGCUGGGGGUGUGCUGACGCUGAGACACGAAAGCCAGGGGAGCGAACGGG